GAUGAGUGCCAUUUCACUUUGUACCGGUUGUAUCUGUAGUGAGCUUGCACAUGUAAAGAUUCAUAUUUCAUACAAGAUUUAUUGAAAUUUAAAUGCUCCUUUGGAACAUGUAUAGUUAAAGCUUAAAGACAAUUCGCAUAUACUGUGAUCACAUCACAGUCUUAUCUUGAGCGUCUAUUGCCGGAAUAUUUAUCUGCAUUUUUUAUUUAUGCAGCUGUGUAAAGAGAGGGGUCCCUUUCAUCUGCUCUGUGUGGAAAUGUUAGUGUGGUUGUACUUUUUAUCGUGACCUGUACCAUGUAAAGAGAGGGGUCCUUUUGAUCUGCUCUGUGUGGAAAUGUUAGUGUGGUUGUACUUUUUAUCGUGACCUGUACCAUCGCGUAAAGAACAGACGGCGCGGAAUAAGCCCGAUGGUAAAAUAGAAGUUUUUACUACUCGUCAUUAUUGCAGUGAACUUUGUCUGGGCACCAACCGGCGCCCAUUAGGCGAUGAGGAUUUUUGCAUUACAGUAUUAAGCCUACACCGUCCAUGCCAAAUGAUUGCAGAUCGAAACGCGGAUGCAGUAUAUUCUUCGUGAAUCGGCGUGGUUUGGAGCUUCCGAGCUUGACACAGUUUUCAAAUUCAUUCUUUUUGCAACACCAUUACGCAUUAAUUGCUGAUUGAACUAUUCAUGCCGGUGGGUGUAAGUCGUUGAGAAAAUUAGUAAGGUCUUGUAACUCUUGUCCAUGUACGGGUUUAAGCAUCAGCAGCUAUUAAUGCAACUGAUACCAUCGCAGUUUUAUUAAUUUUUGCAACUUGUACAAUGGAGGCACCGUCAAUAUUUUCUACUUAUUUACGAGUAUUAACCGCUGUGCCACUUGUUUUCUGGCAUAUGCCAUAUUUUAUUGCGUGCCAGAAGGAUAACAUACCAGGUUUUAUCCCUUGCCAUGCCAGUGGCAACGCCAGAGGCACUUGCCAGUGCCAGGUUUUACACCCUGCCGUCUAAUCAUGCGUUCACAACCGAAAAUCGUUGUGCAAGAGCAUACUGAUCACCAACAAAUUCAAUUCAUAAUGCGAUGGACUAUCGACUAUCGAGGGUGUUUUGCUGCACCGUUCUGAUGAGAUACUGGUGCGGAACGCCGGUAUCCCCAUGGAAGAACUGGGCAUCAGUAGCGGCGAAGGCCGCUGGCGUUUGGCUAUUCGGAUGUGUGUAGUGGAUCCACAUCCACAUGAUCCAACUCCAGCGAAAGAUGCCGUGGGUGCUUAUUUAUGCUUGACCGACCUGGACCCCGCUUCCAAAACGUACACGGGGCAAGGUAGCUUUCUUGCGGGAUGCCGAAUAAGGUGUUUCCUCCUGUUUUAGCGUGCACACGGGACGAUCGCUACUACAACUUGUCCCGCCAGGCAAGAUGAUUACGGAGCAUUUCUCGAGUGCGGGCUUUUCGUUUGGCAGCAAUGACAUCCUUAAGCAUGCGGAUUUGUAUGAGAAGAUACAAGAUGACUCAAUAACUGUCAUUAUGGACGUGUACCUGGAGCUGAAAUCCGAAACUUUUCGUGUCUGCCACAUCCAUACUAAUCAAGAGCAGUAUCGUCAGCAGUUUUGCCGACGUCAAUCCGGCUUUCUUCAAAAAGGUGAUCAAGAUUCCGCCGACUUCGUUAUUCAUUCCAGCGAUGGCCAUGACUUUCCUAUUCACCGUUGCCUUUUUGAUGGCACAUUCACCGGUAUUUGCAGCCAUGCUGACCCAUGAUUCGAAGGAAAAGCAAGAAGCGCAAUGCACACUGGAGGAUAUCACCGGGGAUACUGUGGCCAUCCUUUGUGACUAUAUCUACGGAUGUGAAAUGGGAAAGGUCAGCCUGGACAAUGCAGAAAAGGUUCUGAUUAUGGCGGAUCGGUAUGCUGUAGUAGAUCUGCGAUCGUACUGCGAACUCAUGUUGGUCAGCAGCAUCACUCCACAGAAUGCUGAAAAGUAUCUCGCCCUUGCCGAGCAGCGCGGACUGUAUGCUCUGAAAAAAGCCCCUUCAUUCAAGCUUAGCACACACCGUACAACAUCAAACAGCACGGAUAUUGAAGUACUACAGGACUCCUCACGACCCACCGCUACAGCAGUCGCGAUAGGCCGCAAAACAUCCCGAUGGCCUUCUUGGCUCUGUCUGUAUAGACCGCGUUAAGAUUCUGUGCAUUAUGUGUUUCGUUGCGUUGUGAUUUUGUGUAUGAAUUUUGCGUAUUAUGUUUUUGUGUAUUGCUUUGUGCUAAGAUUUUGUGUUUGAUUUGUCAUUUGUGUAUUCGGGGUUUGUAUCUGUAAU